UAAAAUCGACACUUGGCUUGCAUCAAGCUAUGUCCYGUCUCUCAGUCGCAGCAAAUUGGUGACCCCGACAUGAUCCUAAGGAUUGGCRGAAGGAUCRAGAACCACCUAUCUGUGUGGCAUGCUGCGAGUCCCACAGGACGUUGAAUGAGCUGCUGAAACGAAGCAGGAGCCAGUCGGCAUCAAUCCCACUGGAGCAGAGAGGUGAGCUGUGGGAAACAUGGGAAGUCAGAUAUCUUCCCCAGAGAGAGACGUUUAUGAAAGCUCUCCUUAAAAAACAUGGAAAGAAUAUUUCUGGGCAUGACCUCAAGCUGAUCCUUAAAUGGGUACAAGUAAAAAUGCCCACUGUAACCGCAUCCUCUGUCUUUACGCGGGAACUCUGGGAUGAUGUGGGGGUGAAACUAUGGGACAAGCAACAGCAGGAAACGCUGAAGCCCAGCACAUGUUCCCCUGGUGGAGGAUUGUUUUUGAGACUCUGAAAGCACAAGAGAAAACUAAUGAGGAUAAAGCAGGGGAGGAGGAAAGAUGCCCUCUCACAGCUCCCCCGGCGCUGCCAAAGAACGAACCCUUGAGAGUGGGUGCUGCGGGAUACCCCCCUUUCGAUCCGGGUCCAGUCAACCCUGAACAAGAGCCCCCUCUACCCCCCUAACCCACAAGAUGUAUGGGCUAAUAUAAAACGCCAAGCCUUGAAAGAAGGCGAGUUUGAGAUCGCGAAAACAAUUGUAGCCCCCGUGAUUUAUCAGGGUCGGGGGGCGCAUGGUGGGAGGCUUUGCCUUUCUCGGUAAUUAAGGAGCUGCGGCAUACUGUUACUGAGCACGGGCUUUCUUCACCGUAUUUUGCGAGUUUGUUAUCUUCUGUUUUUCAUACCUAUGUUUUGAUUUGAUGUCUUUCGCACAAUUGCUCCUAACCCCGACACAGUACUCCCUAUGGCAGUCACACUGGCCGGGGGGGACUCCAAAAAAACUUCUUACGACUUAUGUGGGUCACGGCUGCCGUAGCUGCACUGACUAUAGAACACCUUACUGGUACAGGUCAGCACUCUGAUCCGGUAGCUCAAGCCCGGGAUAUCCCAUGGGAAGCUCUUGAGGCGACUCAUGAAGAAGCGAAAAAAGCCCUUCUUAAGGUCGCUGAUUCACAAAAACCGCAAAAAAAAAACUUUACUGUGAUUACCCAGGACUCCUGGGAACCUUAUAUGCAGUUUAUUGAUAGGCUGAAGCAAGCUCUGGAGCGUUAGAUAGACAAURCGGAAGYGCGGGAGAUWUUGUUGUUAAAAUUGGCUGUAGAAAAUGCUAACGUAGAUUGCAAAAAAUUGCUUAAGUCUCUCCCGAMCCCCACACUAGUGGAAAUGGUGAAAGCUUGUAAUAGAUUUGGCACAAUGGAUCAUAAGUAUGAAGCCAUGGCUGCCUCUUUUGCGGCCAUGCAAAGCCCCGGGAGGCCCGGAAAUUGUUAUGGUUGUGGUAAACCUGGCCAUCUGAAAAAGAAUUGUUUGACCAUUAAUGCUGGUGCCAGGCCCCAGGCCCCUGGGAUUUGCCCGAGAUGCCGAAAGGGGCGCCGUUAUGCUAAUCAGUAUCGUUCCAAGUAUAAUUUUCAGAGCCAGCUGAUGCAGGGAAACUGAUCGCGGAGCGCGGGGCAGCAACGCGCACAGACACAAGUGCCGCAGCCAGCGUUUCAAACCGUCCAGAGGAAGAGGCAGGAGCCCAGGGCCAGAAGCCAGCAGAGCAAAUCCUUCAUCGUCUCCUCUGCCUGCCUCCUACAGCCAUGAGAAAGCGAUGCCUCCUCCUCCUCCCUGGCACAGGGAAGCAGUGGAAGCGGCAGCAAGCAAGGUCGCUCCCCCUUCUUUCCCCUCUUCUGGCACGGAGCAAAAGUUGCUCAGUUAUCUUACUCCAAGAUUAGCCCGCUGGCAGCAGCUGAGCGGUCUCGAGGCAGGGGGGUGGCAGAACUUUUGAGUCUAUGGACAUUUUGCGAACUGUGUAACUUGUGAUGGUGAUUCACUGUUUUYGAAUGUUUUCACAUGUAAUUAAUAUUGUUUCUGUUAGCGUAAGUUGCAGGACUGAUUAACCGACGAGAAGGAGGCUGCUUGAAGGAAGUAGCUGAUCCUUGGCGUUAUGCUUUUCUCAAUGAUCUUUAUAUUUCGUGAAGCAUCACCAUGCUCCUUACUUUAUAACGCCUAUCAGGUCUCCUACAAUGUUGCCUGGUCCUCUAAUGGAAGGAGAUCAGCAUGCUGACAGCCUCGCUGGGGUGGCCACCCUUCCAGACACAUUCCAGCAGGCACGRUUGUCUCAUGCCUUCUUUCACCAGAGUGCUUACACAGAUGUUCCGUAUCACGACUGAACAGGCACAGUGAAUUAUUUAGACCUCUCCAGGUUAUCAAUAUCAUCUGCCAUGGAGGUGAACCCUUGAAGCCUGACACCUCUAGGUUUGCAGACGAUGUCACUAACAUUCACUCUUUUCGGCACUCUUGGACCUAUGGUCUGCAGUACAACUAAUAGCUGAACGCUGCUUUAUAUUACAUACUUGCAGUCAUAUGCGUGAUGCCUGAUGCCACUUUCUAGCUGCCUUUACAAUGCUAGAGGAGCAGACCUGUAAGCUAGUUCACAGGUUAAACACGAAGCAAGGGAGAUGAAGGUAAUAAAGGUAGGACCCUCAUAGUGAGACCAGAGACCCUCACUGGUGGCUGUGUAUGCACACACCAGGGAAAGCUGCAUAUUGAUAAAGGUGGAGCUUUGCCUGCCCUCUGGUCACCUCCUGACACGUAUGGGCCCUACGUGACAGGACACGCCAGAUAUAAAACAAUUGUGGAUCUGAGACGGGGAGAGACUCCAACUGAGACCGAUCUUGUCUCUGCGGGGAUGCCCGCAAGCUUGGAGCCUGUCGGCCACCUCGACCAUGGGAAGAAUGACCAGUCUCACUAUCUGGCUAGAAAAUAUUCUCUCUUAAGUAAUUGCUCUGUAGCUGCUUCAUUUUGCUGGGAGUUGCUAAGUAAUUGUUAUGCUUUAGUGGGUGAGAAAUUAAAACGGACAAUGAGCCAGCCUAUCUGGCCCAGUCUACACAAUUGUUAUUAUAAUUUAGAUAUAGGUAUAUAGGUAUAUAGGUAUAUAGGUAUAUAGGUAUAUAGGUAUAUAGGUAUAUAGAUACAGAUAUAGAUAGUCAUGCUACACUACAGAAUCACGCUGUUAUUGAUUUUGCUUUUAGGACAAGAGCAUGGCUGUGAAGACUUUGAGGGGAAAUGAAUGAUUGUGAAAUCGGGAAUUGAUAAAUKGCAAAAAGGCUUGGACUUAACAUAAUGAUUUUUGGAUUUGUUCAAAUAAGAGUUAAUGAUUCUGAUCACUAUUGUAACAAUGCACAUAGCCUUGUCUCKAAGGUGGCCUUGAGGAGAGGAAAACAAGAAGUCCAUUGAAGAAGUGAGCCAAGCAGAGGAUGCAAGGCAGGAGCACUGAGUAAUGAACUGACCAACCAACAACCAAGCAAGGAUGCCUGCUCUCCUCUUACAUGUUGUUUUGCAGGAGGCAAAAUAAGUGAAUAAGUGGGAUGAAAUCCCAUAUGUAGAUUUGUUGCUUUUUCUGAGAAAUGAUCAUGAAACAAGAAAGAAAUGUAAAUUGCUGGUAUAUGAUUUGAAGAUGUUAGAAGGAAAUGUGAUUUUUGGUAACUGAUUUGAAUGAUUAUGGAGGACAAAAAGAAGGUAUCUCAGUUUUGUUUGGCUUGCAGUACAGAGAAAAAUGUUUGAAAGACUAUUUGUAAGUGGAUGAUGAGGAAGAGGAUGUGCAAUUUUUGGUCUACUGGGAAAAAAGGGGAUUAAUGAGACUGGGAUCAAAUAUGGGGGUGCAUAAGUUGAUGCUUAAACAAUAUCAGCAGUUAAUAUUACAUGGAGUAAAGCAUGCAGUGCUUGGACCUGUUGUAAAACUAUAUCAAGUUGUACAAGUUAAGGCUGAGGAUCCCCCUACUUUUUCAAGUAAUUUUGUGAGACUGCUGAAAAAUGAACAGAUUUGGAUCUUGAAGACGAAGCUGAACAACAGAUCRAUGACAACUGGGACCCAUUUGCACAGUGCAAAUGGGCAUCGCUUUGGUUGCAAAAGCUGUUGCUAGAACUGUUUUUCUUGCUUAUARUAUUCAUUUGUAUUACACGUUGUAUUCCUUGUGUAAUUGCACUGCUAUGURGAAUGAUUGAAACUACCAUGCUAGGGGUACCUACCCAGGUUAAAACAGAUAAUGGGCCAAGCCAUUGUUGAGUGUGCCCAUGGAACCCUGAAAACUAUGCUAAAAACAGAAAGGGGGAGUAGGGACUGCUACCCCUUAGGAGCGUCUACAGAAAGCCUUAUAUGUUUUUAACUUUUUGAAUUGUUCUUUAAUAGAUAAUAAUCCCCCGAUAGUUCGACACUUUAAUGCAAAUUCUUCACUUGAAGCACAAACUAAAGCUCCGGUGCUCAUAUGAGAUCCCGAAACAGAAAAAGGCCCUCGAUGGAUUCCAGCAAAAAGUGUGCGGCCCUUCCAUGAAUCAUUACCACAAUCAUCGGACAACGAACUGGACCACUCCCAAGACAGACCUCCUGAGAAGCAAGCCAGCCUUGAUCCUCCAAUUCAAUACUAGUGAGUGUCCCAUGAACCAAAAUAUCCCAUUAAAAUGUGGAGUGAGGCUCUCUGUGCUUCUGUCAGACCACGCAAGGACCCCAAUUUCAAGACCAAAGUUGAAUGAUUCAUCCCUCCCGGAAAAGCUCCUUGUCCUUGGUACAGCUAUCCAGAAACAACCCGAACUACUGAAAAGAGCAGACMACUCGACUGAAGAUCAUACUGUUCUUCCAGGUUCAUUUCCUAAAUAACCCUCAAAGUUGAGCCCUGUGUGCACAUGCACUCUUGCAAGUCACUUGUCUGGAAAAGCAGAGGACAUCCUAUUUCAUUAAGAGAAACUUCUCCAGAAGACCUUUACCCAGUCUCAUCUAUCAGGCCUAUGGUGGCAGAUGUCCAGCACUAGAUCUCUAGGACCUCCCCCACCUGCCCUCUGCUGUGUAUUGCCUCUUCCUAUAAAGACUAUUUCUCACAUGUAAAGUUGUUCUGAAAACAAUGAAUGAAGUUUU